rnacentral:rRNA from 1 species
GACGAACGCUGGCGGCGUGCUUAACACAUGCAAGUCGAACGGAAAGGCCCUGCUUUUGUGGGGUGCUCGAGUGGCGAACGGGUGAGUAACACGUGAGUAACCUGCCCUUGACUUUGGGAUAACUUCAGGAAACUGGGGCUAAUACCGGAUAGGAGCUCCUGCUGCAUGGUGGGGGUUGGAAAGUUUCGGCGGUUGGGGAUGGAAUCGCGGCUUAUCAGCUUGUUGGUGGGGUAGUGGCUUACCAAGGCUUUGACGGGUAGCCGGCCUGAGAGGGUGACCGGCCACAUUGGGACUGAGAUACGGCCCAGACUCCUACGGGAGGCAGCAGUGGGGAAUAUUGCACAAUGGGCGGAAGCCUGAUGCAGCAACGCCGCGUGCGGGAUGACGGCCUUCGGGUUGUAAACCGCUUUCGCCUGUGACGAAGCGUGAGUGACGGUAAUGGGUAAAGAAGCACCGGCUAACUACGUG